rnacentral:tmRNA from 1 species
GGGGAUGUAAAGGUUUCGACAGGGAGUACGAAGCAAGAGCAGCGGGUAGUGUUGUGGCCGCACUUAAAAUGCCACACAAACAUAAUUAACAACACAGUUAAUUUCCGUGGUAGCCGCAUGGCUGCCAUUGCGGCCUAAUUUAAAGGCCGCCGUCCGGCCCAUCUUACCGUAAGGUGGUGCCCGGGCGUCAUUUAAACGGUGAACGUGAACGUCCUUAAGCUUUGCGGGGCGUCAUGAAUUUAUGAAGCUACCGACGUAGCGGCUUGGUUACUGGCCUGCUGCCGGGGGAACCCUUGUAGGUAACCUGCACCCGGAGAUACUGUUGUGGACUGCUUUUUGGACACGGGUUCGAUUCCCGUCAUCUCCACCA